CACGUGCACGCAUCCCGUCCUCGGCGUCCCGACUGCUGCCUAGCAACCGAGCAGCCACGUCAUCACGAGCCGCGCACGCACGUCACCACACAGCGCCGCUCUGCGCACCGGGAACACGGACGGACGCUCACUGGCGGUUUGGCGGGUUUCUUCGCUUUAUAGGUCACGUGCACGCAUCCCGUCCUCGGCGUCCCGACUGCUGCCUAGCAACCGAGCAGCCACGUCAUCACGAGCCGCGCACGCACGUCACCACACAGCGCCGCUCUGCGCACCGGGAACACGGAUGGACGCUCACUGGCGGUUUGGCGGGUUUCUUCGCUUUAUAGGUGAAUGAAGAUGGCUUUGACAAAAGAGGAGAGCAGCCAGGACACACACUCAGUUUGAAAUAUUUAAAGUGCACCGGCUCCAGGGACCCAUCUAUACCCCACUACUGUGUAUCACCAUCCCAGUAUGUGUAUCACCAUCCCAGCAUGGAUAAAUGAGAAAAUCAAAAAAUUUCCAUCAAUGAUUUUUAAAGUGGUCUGUGUGCAAAUCACCACAACAUUUUAAGAGACAUUGGGGGGUAUUCAAUUGUUUGAAAAACGAGAUU